rnacentral:rRNA from 1 species
CAGCAGUAGCCGCGGUAAUACGUAGGGGGCGAGCGUUGUCCGAAGUUACUGGGCGUAAAGCGCGCGUAGGCGGCUUCUUAAGUCUGAGGUGAAAGGUUCAACGCUUAACGUGAACAGUGCCUUGGAUACUGGGGAGCUUGAGUAUGGGAGAGGGCAGUGGAAUGGCUGGUGUAGCGGUGAAAUGCGUAGAUAUCAGUCGGAACACCCAUGGCGAAGGCAGCUGCCUGGCCUAAUACUGACGCUGUGGUGCGAGAGCGUGGGGAGCGAACGGGAUUAGAUACCCCUGUAGUCCCUGUCUCUUAUU